rnacentral:rRNA from 1 species
UUGAAAGGGAAACGAUUGAAGUCAGUCGUACCCUCGGGUAAUCAGCCUUUUGGGNNNNNNNUUGUGGAGCGUGAAGAGUUAAACGCCUUCAUGCCUGCAUAUUCGUGCAUUUUGGGUGUACUUGCCCGUAUGGUUGGUUAACAUCAAUUUUGGUGGUCAUAAAAUGACUGGAGGAAUGUAGCUUCGAUCUCGUAUUGAAGUGUUAUAGCCUUCGGUAGAUGUGAUGAUCGAGAUUGAGGAUUGCAACGGAUACCCUUCGGGGCUACCUGUCUGAUCUCUGAUCGUUGCUCUGGUGCCGAAAGCUUGCUUACGGUUAUCAAAGUCGAUGGUCAAUAGGUUAGAACGGGUUAAAUUCGUUAAGGAUGUUGACGUA